UGGGGUAGCUCAGUAGGUAGAGCAUCUCCAUGGUAAGGAGAAGGUCGUGGGUUCGAUUCCCACUCCC
rnacentral:tRNA from 1 species